rnacentral:rRNA from 1 species
ACGGCGAGUGAAGCGGCAACAGCUCAAAUUUGAAAUCUGGCUCUUUUAGGGUCCGAGUUGUAAUUUGUAGAGGGUGCUUUGGCGUUGGCAGCAGUCUAAGUUCCUUGGAACAGGACGUCACAGAGGGUGAGAAUCCCGUACGUGGCUGCAUGUCUUCGCCGUGUAAAGCCCCUUCGACGAGUCGAGUUGUUUGGGAAUGCAGCUCUAAAUGGGAGGUAAAUUUCUUCUAAAGCUAAAUAUUGGCCAGAGACCGAUAGCGCACAAGUAGAGUGAUCGAAAGAUGAAAAGCACUUUGGAAAGAGAGUCAAAAAGCACGUGAAAUUGUUGAAAGGGAAGCGCUUGCAGCCAGACUUGCCUGUAGUUGCUCACCCGGGCUCUUGCCUGGGGCACUCUUCUACGGGUAGGCCAGCAUCAGUUUGGGCGGCUGGAGAAAGGCCUCUGUCACGUAUCUCCCUCCGGGGUGACCUUAUAGGGGAGGCGUAAUGCAGCCAGCUCAGACUGAGGUCCGCGCAUCUGCUAGGAUGCUGGCGUAAUGGCUGUAAGCGGCCCGUCUUGAAACACGGACCAAGGAGUCUAACAUCUAUGCGAGUGUUUGGGUGUCAAGCCCGAGCGCGUAAUGAAAGUGAACGGAGGUGGGAACCCUUCGGGGCGCACCAUCGACCGAUCCUGAUGUCUUCGGAUGGAUUUGAGUAAGAGCAUAGCUGUUGGGACCCGAAAGAUGGUGAACUAUGCUUGAAUAGGGUGAAGCCAGAGGAAACUCUGGUGGAAGCUCGCAGCGGUUCUGACGUGCAAAUCGAUCGUCAAAUUUGGGCAUAGGGGCGAAAGACUAAUCG